CGCAGGGCCCGCCCUCUCUCUGUCCCAGCGAGGGGCGGUGCGACUCCGGCGCAGAGCGGCCGCCGAUUGGUCGGGGCGCGGAGCUGACGCCCGCCGGGCCGGGUCAGCGUUCGGCCUACGGCGGUCGCCGCCUCAUCGCCCGUCAGACGUGCGGCGCCGUUGUCGCCGUUCUGUGCGCGAGUGCCGUUGCGCGACGCGCGGCCUCGAAGCAACGCCACAGCGCGGUACCGCCCCGCGGCCGGGCGGUGUAAGCGGGGCCUCGAGCGGAGGGGACUUGCGCUGGUUGGUCGCGUUAGCGGUCAAACAGAAGUUAAAGCUAUUAAAGAGGGCAUUAUCCGAAUGCCUCACGGGCGGACAUGGAGCAGCAGCCACCUCGCUAGGAAGUCUCUGUCAGCGUUUGACCGCUCUCACUGUUGAGAAGUUUCUCGUAAUGCCAUGUCUGAACCUCCCCUAUAAAUAUGGAUAAAUAUGGGUAUGUUAUAAAUUGAAAAAUACAGCUUUAGCUGUUUGAUUUGGAGAAGGAACUUUUGUUUCCCGUAUGCAUUCCACUGCAGGACACCACUGCAAGUUCCUUUGCACAUAAUUCGGAACAAAUGAAAGCCAAACUGAUUUCUACAGAAGGGCCGUGAUGGGGGAGUUCUUUUUUUUUCUUCCAUACCCGCAGAUAACCAGUUCGGAUUUAUAUAAAGACAAAAAAUGGUUUGAACUCAGGCUCUCCUUCAGCGUGCCUCAGUGGGUAUCGGUUUCCUUGCAGCAGCAGGAGGAAAAAAGUCACCGUUGUGCGGAACUUCUUUUUUUUUUUUUUCGAUUAUUCAAAAGCCUCCUUAAUAAUACAGAACAGCUGAGGGGAUUCGUGUGAUUUUAUUCCCUGUCGAAGUCGCUGAGCAAUUACAUCCAGCCACAGGGCUGUGCUUGUGCUGCUGCCGGUUGUUGCUGGGUUCUCUCUGAUGCUUUGGAAGCUGUGCCCUCCCCAGCCUAACAUGCAGGCCUAUCGUUGGACAAAUCGAGGCUCCUUUGUUCUGAUGUUAAGCGCUAAGCCCUGACAACAGAGAACAAAAGGUCCAAGAACAGCUUGUGCUAAAGGCAAAACUUUCCUUUGCUUCGUCGUAAUUCUUCCUUGUUGGCUCUGAGAACCUUGGAGGAUCUUGGUAGCUGCCUCCUAGCGAGAGCAGAAAAUAUUGCAGUGCAGGGGCAAGACCUGAGGCUAUUUCUUUGGGUAUUAUUUCUGCUUAAGAAGACGUGUUCCUUAAAUGACCAGUUGACAAAGCAGAGUGAAAAUGGACAUCUGAACAACUUUUAGGUGCAGAAUGAUACAUCACAGGAUUGAUACGUUCUCAGCUUUGCUCCGGG
ensembl:lncRNA